rnacentral:rRNA from 1 species
CGGCACGCCUAACACAUGCAAGUCGAACGAAGUAGCAAUACUUAGUGGCAGACGGGUGAGUAACAUGUAGGUAUCUGCCCUUUGGCCUGGAAUAACACGAGGAAACUUGUGCUAAUACCGGAUAAGUCUUUACGGAGAAAGCUUUAUGCACCAUUGGAUGAGCCUGCACUUGAUUAGUUUGUUGGUGGGGUAAUGGCCUACCAAGACUGUGAUCAAUAGCUGAUUUGAGAGGAUGAUCAGCCACAUUGGGACUGAGACACGGCCCAAACUCCUACGGGAGGCAGCAGUGGGGAAUCUUGCACAAUGGAGGAAACUCUGAUGCAGCGAUGCCGCGUGAGUGAAGAAGGCCCUUGGGUUGUAAAGCUCUUUCGUCGGGGAAGAAAAUGACUGUACCCGAAUAAGAAGGUCCGGC